ensembl:lncRNA
ACAAAAAAAGUUUGUUAUGAUCUUAACUGAGGAACAGUUCCAAACCAUACAGAUUGCAGUAUAUCAAAUUGGCCUCUUAAGGGGACUUAGGCAUAAAAGUUGAAAGAAUUAAAAAUGUAGCUUUUUUGAUUUUGUAUUUGUAUUUUCUUAAAAGCUCAUUUUUGUUUAAGACACGUUUCUUAACUGACUGAAAAAAGUGUCAGCACGAUGAUUUCCUUCGCUUCUUUCUCAUAUUUCAGAAGGACGCAAGAGAGGCAGGAGUGAAACGGGAAGUGAUUCUCCCCCUCUGCUCUGCGCUGUGAGGCCUCACCUGGAGCACUGUAUCUAGCUGGGGAGUCCUCGGUAUGGAAGAGAUGUGAACCUAUUGGAGAGCAUCUGAAGGAGGACCACAAAAAUGACCCAAGGAAUGGAAUGCCUCCCCUACAAGGACAGGCUGAGAGAGCUGAGGCUGUGCAGCCUUGGGAAGAGAAGGCUUCGGGAGAUAUCAGUAUCUGGAGGGAGGCUGUAAGAAGGAAGGAGACUAUUUAGCAGGGUCUGUUGUGAGAGGACAAGGGGAAAUUGUUUCAAACUAAAGGAGAGGAUAUUUAAAUAGUGUGUAAGAGAAGUUUUUCAUUAUAAGGAUGGUGAGGCACUAGCACAGGUUGCCCAGAGAGAUGGUGGAUGACCCAUACCAUCAAGGUCAGGCUGGAGGGACUCUGAGCACCUGAUUGAGCUGUUCAUUGUAGGCAGGUUGGACCAGAUGGCCUUUAGAGAUCCCUUUCAACUCAAGAGAUUCUAUGAUUCUAAGAAGGGGGGAAUGAGGGA